rnacentral:lncRNA from 10 species
GCCAUAGUAGCUCUGGGAACUGAAUCUCGGGGACCAGGAACAGUCUCGCAUGUCAUUGUAAUCUGGAUUCAUGAACUCUGACUUUCCACAGUCUUUGAGUCACUGAGCACCAGGAUCAACUUUCACAGAGGAUCCAGAUAAUCAGCCAGCUUGAGUCACACUCCUGCAGCUUGGCUAGGGUAGGGAUUCCUGACCAACAGUCCCAUAAGAUCUUAUCCAGUCAGGAGGUACUGGACCAAUCUGAAGUGCAGCCAAGACCGGGAGCCACAGACCUGGAACCUGGGUACUCAAAGAGUUGUCCACGUGCCAGCAGCACUGGCCCCUCCAGGAGCUUGUUAGAAAUGUAGAACCUCAGAGCCUACAUUAAAGAUAUUGAAUCGGAGUCUGCACGUCACAUCUGAGAAGCCAUGAGCUAAGCUGAUGCCAUUCAGCUGGGUAGCAUCGCAGUCACUGUGCAACUUUUAAACCUACAGCUGCCCAGGCCCACUGCAGACCUGCUAAAUUCGAGCUCCUUGUAGUGGGGCCAGGGCCCUGGGACUUCACACAAAACUCUGCAAGUCAUCACUGAUGAGAAAACCAAGACUCGAUGAGAGUCUCCUGAGCUCGGGGGAAGAAGCUGCAUAACCGGCACACUUCCAGAAAGGACCGAGGAAGAGAGCGUCGCUUCAGCUAGGGAUCUGAUUAGUCAUGCCUGGUAGGCUCUGCUGAGCUGGGGGCUCUUGGGUUUUGCUUGUUGAGCUGAAUUAAUAUAUUAAUGGAUUUC